GCGGGUUUUGAGAAGUGCAAGUCUCCUGCCCAGGUGCAUCUUCCUCCUGACUUCAUUCAGCAGCUUCAAAUCGAUUGUCUAGACGAAGAUUUGCAAGCGGUAUUGUUUGACAACUUGUCAAGAUUCACAAUGACAUCCUAUUUUUGAGAUGAGACAGACAAGAUCAAUGCAGCCAUCCAGACUGAAAGAAUCAUCUACACCGAGGAAUACCAUCCUACAGAUGACUACCCUAGCAUCCCCCUGAAGAAUGAUUUAUGCUCUCUUUUUUGUGAUCCAAGGCCCCU
rnacentral:lncRNA from 1 species